rnacentral:misc_RNA from 1 species
ACUGCUCCCCAUAUAAAGAAGCCUAGAUAAAAUGAUGGAAAACCAAAAAUGGAUGCCUGAAGCAUUAGCAUAAGUGUAGCAACAAUUAAACAAGCGCCUGAGGUGCAAGGCACACCAGGCUCAAGCCUCAGUGCCUCCAACACCCAAAGGAGGGUGACAUCAACUAGGCGCACACCUCACAGUAGGCACAAGGCGCACCUCAGAUAUGUUUCUG